UACAGAGGGUGCAAGCGUUAAUCGGAAUUACUGGGCGUAAAGGGCGCGUAGGCGGAUAGUUAAGUGAGAUGUGAAAUCCCUGGGCUUAACCUAGGAACUGCAUCUGAAACUGGCUGUCUGGAGUGCGGUAGAGGGUAGUGGAAUUUCCGGUGUAGCGGUGAAAUGCGUAGAUAUCGGAAGGAACACCAGUGGCGAAGGCGGCUACCUGGACUGACACUGACGCUGAGGCGCGAGAGCGUGGGGAGCGAACAGG
rnacentral:rRNA from 1 species